GUUAAAGUGAACCUAACAUAAAAUGGCUAUUGGCUGCAUAUGUAUAGGGCUGGGGACCGAAUUCAUUAGUUUAUAGGCAGUGAAUUGGCUCUAAAGUGUC